rnacentral:rRNA from 1 species
CAGUCGCCGCGGUAAUACGUAGGGUGCGAGCGUUAAUCGGAAUUACUGGGCGUAAAGCGUGCGCAGGCGGUUGUGUAAGACAGGUGUGAAAUCCCCGGGCUUAACCUGGGAACUGCAUUUGUGACUGGCGGGCUAGAGUAUGGCAGAGGGGGGUAGAAUUCCACGUGUAGCAGUGAAAUGCGUAGAGAUGUGGAGGAAUACCGAUGGCGAAGGCAGCCCCCUGGGCCAAUACUGACGCUCAUGCACGAAAGCGUGGGGAGCAAACAGGAUUAGAUACCCCCGUAGUCCCUGUCUCUUAUAC